rnacentral:tRNA from 1 species
CUCUCGGUAGCCAAGUUGGUUUAAGGCGCAAGACUGUAAUUUACCACUACGAAAUCUUGAGAUCGGGCGUUCGACUCGCCCCCAGGAGA